GACGAACGCUGGCGGCGUGCUUAACACAUGCAAGUCGAACGGAAAGGCCCUGCUUGCAGGGUACUCGAGUGGCGAACGGGUGAGUAACACGUGGGUGAUCUGCCCUGCACUUCGGGAUAAGCCUGGGAAACUGGGUCUAAUACCGGAUAGGAGCCAUUUUUAGUGUGAUGGUUGGAAAGUUUUUUCGGUGUAGGAUGAGCUCGCGGCCUAUCCGCUUGUUGGUGGGGUAAUGGCCUACCAAGGCGGCUACGGGUAGCCGGCCUGAGAGGGUGGACGGCGACAUUGGGACUGAGAGACGGCCCAGACUCCUACGGGAGGCAGCAGUGGGGAAUAUUGCACAAUGGGCGCAAGCCUGAUGCAGCGACGCCGCGUGGGGGAUGACGGCCUUCGGGUUGUAAACUCCUUUCGCUAGGGACGAAGCUUUUUGUGACGGUACCUAGAUAAGAAGCACCGGCUAACUACGUG
rnacentral:rRNA from 1 species